UUGCUAGGCACUGUAAGAAUCUUCUCGCAAUGGACUUUCGAAUGGAAGAAAAAAAUAUAUAUGCAGCCCAGAGAUUUCAGAGGAAAAAGAAAUGCUACUUAGUUGCCAAGCCUGAUGUCAAGAUCACCGUGGAAGAGCAACUCCAUCUAAAAUGAUAAACCUCUUGGCAUGCUCAGAAUUCACAACCGCUAUCUGAUCAGCAACUUUUUUUUAUUUUUUAUGAAUCUUAUUAUUUUGGCAGGACAUGUUCUU
rnacentral:lncRNA from 1 species